CAAUAGCGUAUAUUAAAGUUGUUGCAGUUAAAACGCUCGUAGUCGGGUUUCGGGUCGGGCCGAGCGGUCUGCCGAUGGGUAUGCACUGUUUGGCGCGGCCUUCUUUCCGGAGACCGCGGCUACUCUUAACUGAGCGGGCGUGGGAGACGGAUCGUUUACUUUGAAAAAAUCAGAGUGUUUCAAGCAGGCAGCUCGCUCUUGCAUGGUACAGCAUGGGAUGAUAGAAUAGGACUCCGGUGCUAUUUUGUUGGUUUCGAACACCAGGAGUAAUGAUUAACAGGGACAGUCAGGGGCACUCGUAUUCCGUCGAGAGAGGUGAAAUUCUCAGACCAAUGGAAGACGAACCACUGCGAAAGCAUUUGCCAGGGAUGUUUUCACUGA
rnacentral:rRNA from 1 species